ACAUUAAUAUCUACUUUUAGUCCGUCAGCUUGAUAUAUCUUCAGCUGGUCUAACUCGAUUUAUCAUAAAUUAAAAAAACUGCGAAGAAUAUUGCACCUCUCCAAGCACCUUUUCUUUUCUCCAAAUCUGGAAAAUUCGAAAAAAAACUUUUCAGCAGAAAAGUAAGAUUGACAACUCACAUGUGAAGAAAUUACUAGAUCAUCAGAGAAGCUCAAUCAGUAGCGGAAUGUCAGUAUACCAAGUGACAUUUUCCAGCUUGGGUGGCAAUACAAGGCAUGAUGUAACUUACACUUUCCU
rnacentral:lncRNA from 1 species